CGCCGCCGGUGACGUUGUGAGAAGUUCAUUAAACCUUAUCAUUUAGAGGAAGGAGAAGUCGUAACAAGGUUUCCGUAGGUGAACCUGCGGAAGGAUCAUUGCACACACGAGUUGCAGCCAACCCGCGGCGAACGAACACAUUGUCCCCCUCGGCGGGUCGUGGCGCCUCGCGGCGUCGCGGCCGGCCGGCUCCCUUCGUCACGAGCGAGCUCCCUCGCGAGCUCCCUCGCGGCGUCGGGUUUCCACCAUGCAUCCACCCUGACCGAAUGACUGAGUCCCGAACAUACUUAAUCAAGGAGUGAGUUCCGCCCCCUUGGCUUUCGGGCUUAAGGGGUCGGCGCUGGUUACCUUGCGAGUUGUGGAAACGUAACCAAAACAACUCUCAGCAACGGAUAUCUUGGCUCUUGCAACGAUGAAGAACGCAGCGAAAUGCGAUACGUAGUGUGAAUUGCAGAAUUCCGCGAAUCAUCGAGUCUUUGAACGCAAGUUGCGCCCGAGGCUUGUCCAAGGGCAUUUCCGCUAGAGCGUCACCGCGCCCCCCCACCGAUCCACUCCCCUUGGGAGUCGGGUCGAGUGAAAGUGGCCAUCCCGGUGGUCCUUCGAAGGAAGGUCUGAAGGGUUGGCUGAAAUGGAAGGAAUCGGGCCGCCGUGGUGACACAGUCCGCGAUCGGGUGAUCCGAGCUCCUCCGGGAGCCCGGAAUUUUUCUUAGUGCGUGGCUGCGUCCCCCAGUUGGUUGUGGUUCCUCGUGCAGUCGAGCGCGCCCCCGCGGGCGCGCGUCACGCAUCAGACCUCUAAUCGG
rnacentral:rRNA from 1 species